UACGUAGGGAGCAAGCGUUGUUCGGAUUUACUGGGCGUAAAGGGUGUGUAGGCGGUUCUCUAAGUUUGGGGUGAAAUCUCCCGGCUCAACUGGGAGGGUGCGCCGAAAACUGGAGAGCUAGAGUACUGGAUGGGAGAGUGGAAUUCCUGGUGUAGCGGUGAAAUGCGUAGAUAUCAGGAGGAACACCGGUGGUGUAGACGGCUCUCUGGACAGUAACUGACGCUGAGACACGAAAGCGUGGGUAGCAAACAGG
rnacentral:rRNA from 1 species